UACGAAGGGGGCUAGCGUUGCUCGGAAUCACUGGGCGUAAAGCGCACGUAGGCGGACUCUUAAGUCGGUGGUGAAAUCCUGGAGCUCAACUCCAGAACUGCCUUCGAUACUGGGAGUCUCGAGUUCGGGAGAGGUGAGUGGAACUCCUAGUGUAGAGGUGGAAUUCGUAGAUAUUCGCAAGAACACCAGUGGCGAAGGCGGCUCACUGGCCCGGUACUGACGCUGAGGCACGAAAGCGUGGGGAGCAAACAGG
rnacentral:rRNA from 1 species